GACGAACGCUGGCGGCGUGCCUAAUACAUGCAAGUCGAACGCAGUGGGGACGGGUGAGUAACACGUGGGUAACCUCCCAUCAGAGGGGAUAACACUUGGAAACAGGUGCUAAACCGAUACUGAUGGAUGGACCCGCGGUGCAUUAGCUAGUUGGUGAGGUAACGGCUCACCAAGGCCACGAUGCAUAGCCGACCCGAGGGGGUGAUGGGUCACCGUGGGGCGAGGACAAGGGCCAGCACCGGGAGGGAGGCACGGGUAGGGAAUCUACGGCAAUGGACAGAAGUGUAACCGCGCCACUGGGCGAAAGUCAUGCCGGUCUACGGCGCGUGAAAGUCUACUGUUAGCGAAGCGGUACCUAACCAGAAAGCACCGGCUAACUCCGUGCCAGCAGCCGCGGUAAUAC
rnacentral:rRNA from 1 species